rnacentral:rRNA from 1 species
UACUACGGCCAUGCCACCCUGAACACGCCCGAUCCCGUCUGAUCUCGAAAGCUAAGCAGGGUCGGGCCUGGUUAGUACUUGGACGGGAGACCCCCUAGGAAGACCAGGUGGUGUAGGUG